UGGCUCCUCUGGAGGACCAAAGCCGAUGAGAUGGAGGAGAGGGAAGAGUCUUCACCCUGCCUUGAGUCCCCGAAAUAUGGAUGAGACCAUGACACAGUUGCCUAACUCAACCCUACCAGGCCUCUCUUCCAUGUUGAGGCAGCGGGCCCAUUGUAUGAAGCACAUGCCAACGGACAUGAACCAAGUCCAGUUUGUGAGUAAAGACAGCCACGUCAUCCCGGCUUCACGAGGCUGGUGGGAAGGAGGGAAGAGAGAGCCACCGGACUGCUGGAGCUGAGAGAGCCUGGGGGCUGUGAUGAAAGAACACAUCAGUGUUUCUUUUACGUCAUUAGUGAAAUCCUUUGGUCUACAUUUAGGGUGUUUGUAGUUUACUCCCAUUACACAGAGCCUCCAUGCUGUUCCCUGAUGUAAGAAGCAUUUCUGAUUCGUCCCUGGGGAGGAGGGGAUGGCUGGAGGGCCUUUGGGGAUGAGGACUAGGCGGAGUGCCCCCAGGACGUGGUGCAGGAGUGGAAAAAGCCUGGGAUUUGCUGUCAGGGAAGCCUAGGUUCAGAUGUGGGCUCAGACACUCACUAGAUAGCUUCCCUUGGGCAAGCCAUGUGACUUCUCAGAUCCUCAGUUUCCCCAUCUAUAAAAUGGGGACAGUAGUAUUAUUAUUAGGUGUGAGUCCCUUAUCCCCAUUUUGCAGAUGGGGAAACUGAGGAACCAAGCAGUGAAGUGACUUGUCCAGGACAACACAGCAAGUGUCUGAGGUGGGAUCUGGUUGUCAGGAGGAAAGCCCUUUAAACUUUAUAGUGUUGUCCAACCAGACAUAGGGGUUGGAGGGCUGGCCUUGGCAUCAGGAAGGUCUAGCCUCUAAUCCUGCCUCAGACACAUAUUGCCUGUGUGACCCUGGACAAGUCACUUACCCUCUUCAUGCUCCAGACCAUAAAUUGAAGCGAAGUUUCUCAUUUGCAUUCAAUAGGGAGAGUUUCCACACUGGAAACUCUCACAUGAAUGAUGAUGAUAGCUAACGUGAACAGAGCCCUUUAAGAUUUGCAGUGACUUUAUAUACAUCAUCUCGCUGAUGCUCAUAACAACCCUGUGAGGUAGGUCCUAGCAUUACCCUCAUUUUACAGAUGAGAAAACUGAGGCUUAGGGGGUGAAAUGACUUGUCUAAGGUCACACAGCUAGUAAGUUUCUGAGUUGGAGCUGGAAACCCAGUUCUUCCUCACAUACUCUAUCCAGUAUCCCGCACUGCCUGGAAAUAAAAAUUUCCCAAUAAAUAUGAAGAGUUAUUUC
rnacentral:lncRNA from 1 species